rnacentral:rRNA from 1 species
UACAGAGGUCUCAAGCGUUGCUCGGAAUUAUUGGGCGUAAAGGGCGCGUAGGCGGCCAUUCAAGUGACGGGUGAAAGCCCUCGGCUUAACCGAGGAACUGCCUGUCAGACUGGAUGGCUUGAGACCGGGAGAGGUGAGUGGAAUUCCCAGUGUAGCGGUGAAAUGCGCAGAUAUCGGGAGGAACACCUAUGGCGAAGGCAGCUCGCUGGGACGUUACUGACGCUGAGACGCGAAAGCGUGGGGAGCAAACAGG